UCUCUGAAGGUUGCUCCGGUGCCGAAAGCGUGCUUACGGUCAUCGAAAGUGAUUUUCAAAAGGUUAGAACGGGUUAAAUUCGUUAAGGAUGUUGACGUAAUGGCUUUAAACGACCCGUCUGAAACACGGACCAAGGAGUCUAACAUAUAUGCGAGUGUUCGAACACUCGCAUACAUGUUAGAGGGGCG
rnacentral:rRNA from 1 species